rnacentral:tRNA from 1 species
GCGCCUGUAGCUCAGUGGAUCAGAGCGCUGGCCUCCGGAGCCAGAAGUCGCAGGUUCGAAUCCUGCCAGGCGUACCA